AGCGAACGCUGGCGGCAGGCCUAACACAUGCAAGUCGAACGAACUCUUCGGAGUUAGUGGCGGACGGGUGAGUAACACGUGGGAACGUGCCUUUUGGUUCGGAAUAACUCAGGGAAACUUGUGCUAAUACCGAAUGUGCCCUUCGGGGGAAAGAUUUAUCGCCAUUAGAGCGGCCCGCGUCUGAUUAGCUAGUUGGUGAGGUAACGGCUCACCAAGGCGACGAUCAGUAGCUGGUCUGAGAGGAUGACCAGCCACACUGGGACUGAGACACGGCCCAGACCCCUACGGGAGGCAGCAGUGGGGAAUCUUGCGCAAUGGGCGAAAGCCUGACGCAGCCAUGCCGCGUGAAUGAUGAAGGUCUUAGGAUUGUAAAAUUCUUUCAACGGGGACGAUAAUGACGGUACCCGGAGAAGAAGCCCCGGCUAACUUCGUG
rnacentral:rRNA from 1 species